UACGGAGGGUGCAAGCGUUAUCCGGAUUUACUGGGUUUAAAGGGUGCGUAGGUGGGCAGGUAAGUCAGUGGUGAAAUCUUCAAGCUUAACUUGGAAACUGCCGUUGAUACUAUCAUUCUUGAAUAUCGUGGAGGUGAGCGGAAUAUGUCAUGUAGCGGUGAAAUGCUUAGAUAUGACAUAGAACACCGAUUGCGAAGGCAGCUCACUACACGAUCAUUGACACUGAGGCACGAAAGCGUGGGGAGCAAACAGG
rnacentral:rRNA from 1 species